CUACGGGCCGCUGCAGUGGGGAAUCUUAGACAAUGGGCGCAAGCCUGAUCUAGCCAUGCCGCGUGAGUGAUGAAGGCCUUAGGGUCGUAAAGCUCUUUCGCUGGGGAAGAUAAUGACGGUACCCAGUAAAGAAACCCCGGCUAACUCCGUGCCAGCAGCCGCGGUAAUACGGAGGGGGUUAGCGUUGUUCGGAAUUACUGGGCGUAAAGCGCGCGUAGGCGGACUGUUAAGUCGGGGGUGAAAUCCCGGGGCUCAACCCCGGAACGGCCUUCGAUACUGGCAGUCUGGAGUUCGAGAGAGGUGAGUGGAAUUCCGAGUGUAGAGGUGAAAUUCGUAGAUAUUCGGAGGAACACCAGUGGCGAAGGCGGCUCUCUGGCCUGAUACUGACGCUGAGGUGCGAAAGCGUGGGGAGCAAACAGGAUUAGAUACCCCGGUAGUC
rnacentral:rRNA from 1 species